CAUGCAAGUCGAACGGUAACAUUUCUAGCUUGCUAGAAGAUGACGAGUGGCGGACGGGUGAGUAAUGCUUGGGAACUUGCCUUUGCGAGGGGGAUAACAGUUGGAAACGACUGCUAAUACCGCAUAAUGUCUUCGGACCAAACGGGGCUUCGGCUCCGGCGCAAAGAGAGGCCCAAGUGAGAUUAGCUAGUUGGUAAGGUAACGGCUUACCAAGGCGACGAUCUCUAGCUGUUCUGAGAGGAAGAUCAGCCACACUGGGACUGAGACACGGCCCAGACUCCUACGGGAGGCAGCAGUGGGGAAUAUUGCACAAUGGGGGAAACCCUGAUGCAGCCAUGCCGCGUGUGUGAAGAAGGCCUUCGGGUUGUAAAGCACUUUCAGUUGUGAGGAAAAGUUAGUAGUUAAUACCUGCUAGCCGUGACGUUAACAACAGAAGAAGCACCGGCUAACUCCGUGCCAGCAGCCGCGGUAAUACGGAGGGUGCGAGCGUUAAUCGGAAUUACUGGGCGUAAAGCGCACGCAGGCGGUUUGUUAAGCUAGAUGUGAAAGCCCCGGGCUCAACCUGGGAUGGUCAUUUAGAACUGGCAGACUAGAGUCUUGGAGAGGGGAGUGGAAUUCCAGGUGUAGCGGUGAAAUGCGUAGAUAUCUGGAGGAACAUCAGUGGCGAAGGCGACUCCCUGGCCAAAGACUGACGCUCAUGUGCGAAAGUGUGGGUAGCGAACAGGAUUAGAUACCCUGGUAGUCCACACCGUAAACGCUGUCUACUAGCUGUGUGUGUCUUUAAGACGUGCGUAGCGAAGCUAACGCGCUAAGUAGACCGCCUGGGGAGUACGGCCGCAAGGUUAAAACUCAAAUGAAUUGACGGGGGCCCGCACAAGCGGUGGAGCAUGUGGUUUAAUUCGAUGCAACGCGAAGAACCUUACCUACACUUGACAUGCAGAGAACUUUCUAGAGAUAGAUUGGUGCCUUCGGGAACUCUGACACAGGUGCUGCAUGGCUGUCGUCAGCUCGUGUCGUGGAAUGUUGGGUUAAUUC
rnacentral:rRNA from 1 species